UCUAUGCUUCCGCCAGUGGUCCCCUCUUUGGGGCCCCAGCUUCAGUGAAGUCAAGGGGUUUCGGCCUUUUGAACGCACUGAUUCCCUGACGCUGCUUCAUUGCGGAGCUGCGUCCGGGGCCCCGGUGGAUUUCGAUCCGCCGGAGGGGUGGCCCUCCACCUCGACUCCAGUCCCUCGAGGAACGACUCGAUGA
rfam:Synechococcus sp. WH 8102 complete genome.